AUACGUAGGGGGCGAGCGUUGUCCGGAAUUACUGGGCGUAAAGGGUGCGUAGGUGCCACUUUAAGUUGGAUGUGAAAUCCCCGUGCUUAACAUGGGAGCUGCAUCCAAUACUGAGAGCUAGAGUGCAGGAGAGGUAAGCGGAAUUCCUAGUGUAGCGGUGAAAUGCGUAGAUAUUAGGAGGAACACCAGUGGCGAAGGCGGCUUACUGGACUGUAACUGACACUGAGGCACGAAAGCGUGGGGAGCAAACAGGAUUAGAUACCCUGGUAGUCCACGCUGUAAACGAUGAAUACUAGGUGUAGGGGGUAUCAACUCCCUCUGUGCCGCAGCAAACGCAAUAAGUAUUCCGCCUGGGGAGUACGGCCGCAAGGUUGAAACUCAAAUGAAUUGGCGGGG
rnacentral:rRNA from 1 species